rnacentral:rRNA from 1 species
GUGGGGAAUAUUGGGCAAUGGAGGAAACUCUGACCCAGCAACGCCGCGUGGAGGAAGAAGGUUUUCGGAUCGUAAACUCCUGUCCUUGGAGACGAGUAGAAGACGGUAUCCAAGGAGGAAGCCCCGGCUAACUACGUGCCAGCAGCCGCGGUAAUACGUAGGGGGCAAGCGUUGUCCGGAAUAAUUGGGCGUAAAGGGCGCGUAGGCGGCUCGGUAAGUCUGGAGUGAAAGUCCUGCUUUUAAGGUGGGAAUUGCUUUGGAUACUGUCGGGCUUGAGUGCAGGAGAGGUUAGUGGAAUUCCCAGUGUAGCGGUGAAAUGCGUAGAGAUUGGGAGGAACACCAGUGGCGAAGGCGACUAACUGGACUGUAACUGACGCUGAGGCGCGAAAGUGUGGGGAGCAAACAGGAUUAGAAACCCCAGUAGUCCC